rnacentral:lncRNA from 1 species
AAAAGUCAAAAUCGCCAUUAUUGAACUUGACCUCCAUUUUGUCAUCAGUAAUAACAUAUUAAAAUUUGGGAAGCUUUGGUAGAACAGUUCAUGCGUAAAUGCACGGACACGACUGGAAACUCCAUUUUUCAAUCUUUCAAGAACCAUAAAUCCUGAACGGUAAAAGUCAAAAUCGUCAUUGUUGAACUUGACCUCCAUUUUGUCAUCAG